GACGAACGCUGGCGGCGUGCUUAACACAUGCAAGUCGAGCGGUAAGGCCUUUCGGGGUACACGAGCGGCGAACGGGUGAGUAACACGUGGGUGAUCUGCCCUGCACUCUGGGAUAAGCUUGGGAAACUGGGUCUAAUACCGGAUAUGACCGCAUGCCGCAUGGUGUGUGGUGGAAAGAUUUAUCGGUGCAGGAUGGGCCCGCGGCCUAUCAGCUUGUUGGUGGGGUAAUGGCCUACCAAGGCGACGACGGGUAGCCGACCUGAGAGGGUGACCGGCCACACUGGGACUGAGACACGGCCCAGACUCCUACGGGAGGCAGCAGUGGGGAAUAUUGCACAAUGGGCGGAAGCCUGAUGCAGCGACGCCGCGUGAGGGAUGAAGGCCUUCGGGUUGUAAACCUCUUUCAGCAGGGACGAAGCGUGAGUGACGGU
rnacentral:rRNA from 1 species